rnacentral:tRNA from 1 species
CAAAAUACAGCAUCUAAAGAAUGCCUUUCACUUACACUGAAAAGAGAAUUUAAAAAAAUUUAUUUUGA